rnacentral:rRNA from 1 species
GCUGAUAGCCCUACUGCCAUGAACUCAUCUGAUCUCUGAAGCUAAGCAGGGUCAGGCCUAGUUAGUAUUGACUGAGAGCAGGUCAUCUACUAACUAGAUGGUUGAUAAUU